rnacentral:rRNA from 1 species
AAAGGGCCGCGGUAAUUUGACCGUGCGAAGGUAGCAUAAUCAUUAGUCUUUUAAUUGGAGGCUUGUAUGAAUGGUUGGAUGAAAGACAUUCUGUCUUUUUAAAUAGUGUGAAUUUAACAUUUAAGUGAAAAGGCUUAAAUUAUUUAGUGGGACGAUAAGACCCUAUAAAACUUUAUAUAACUUAUGAAUUAUAAAUGUAUUUAGUUUAAAGUUAUUUUAUAUAAAUUAUAUUUCGUUGGGGAGAUGUUCAUAUAAUUUGUAACUGUUUUUUUAAUUAAAUAAUUAUAAUUAGUUUUUGAUCCUUUAGUAAAGAUUAAAAGACUAAGUUACUUUAGGGAUAACAGCGUAAUUUUCUCUGAGAGUUCUUAUCGACGAGAGUAGUUGCGACCUCGAUGUUGAAUUAAAAUUUCAGGUUGGUGUAGUCGCUUUCCUGGUGGGUCUGUUCGACCUUUAAAAUUUUACAUGAUUU